rnacentral:pre_miRNA from 1 species
AAAGUACACCCUCCGUCCCAAAAUUCUUGUCUUAGAUUUGUCUAGAUAUGGAUGUAUCAAGUCACAUUUUAGUAUUAGAUACAUCCGUAUCUAGACAAAUCUAAGACAAGAAAUUUGGGACAGAGGGAGUAGUUG